CGGGAUUUUUUGCCUGUUUGCGCAGCAUCUCUUCAAAAUAAAAUGACUCGUCCCCUCUGUCGUCAUGGAAGACCUCUGUGGGCGCUAAGCACAGAGUUCAGAGUCCACUGCAGAGGUGGCCGCGCACGACCAGCACGGACGGCCUGAGAUGGAGUCCAGGCCUUAUUAAUUCCUUCUUCAGUGGCUCCCAACAUACUAUACCGUCGUUCAGCAACACUUCCUAACCAGGUGUUACAGACUUGCAAGUCAGACCAACCCUUCCCAGAGUGUUAACCUCCUUAAUGCUUGUGACUUCAACAGCCAGCUCUCCAAAUCCAGUCUCUGCAAGGCAAGCUCUGAACUACACCUCUGCUUGGCUCUUAAACUUUCCCUAUGGCCAGCUCUCAAACACCCACUUAAUCAGUAAAUUGUCUUUCCAUAUUA